rnacentral:rRNA from 1 species
GACAGAGGUGCCAAGCGUUAGGCGGAAUCACUGGGCUUAAAGCGUGUGUAGGCGGAUUUGUAAGUACCUUGUGAAAGCCCCCGGCUCAACUGGGGAGGGUCAUUCGAUACUGAUCGACUCGAAGGCAGGAGAGGGUAGUGGAAUUCCCGGUGUAGUGGUGAAAUGCGUAGAUAUCGGGAGGAACACCAGUGGCGAAGGCGACUACCUGGCCUGUUCUUGACGCUGAGGCGCGAAAGCUAGGGGAGCAAACGGG